GCGCCUACGGGGGGCAGCAGUGGGGAAUAUUGGGCAAUGGGCGCAAGCCUGACCCAGCAACGCCGCGUGAAGGAAGAAGGCUUUCGGGUUGUAAACUUCUUUUAAGAGGGAAGAGUAGAAGACGGUACCUCUUGAAUAAGCCACGGCUAACUACGUGCCAGCAGCCGCGGUAAUACGGAGGGUGCAAGCGUUGUCCGGAAUCAUUGGGCGUAAAGAGUUCGUAGGCGGUAUGUUAAGUCUGGUGUUAAAUGCAGAAGCUCAACUUCUGUUCGGCGCUGGAUACUGGCAAACUAGAAUGCGGUAGG
rnacentral:rRNA from 1 species